AAGUCGUAACAAGGUUUCCGUAGGUGAACCUGCGGAAGGAUCAUUAACACGUGUUUAUUCACGUACAAACCAAACGCGAACUGUGUCUAUAACUUUUAACAACCCCAUAUACCUUCUGAUCUAAUUUCUGUGUGUUUGCCGACACUCGAUAAGAACUCCUGAGUUUUGCAAAAAGCUUGGUCGUAGACGCUGAUCUUGAGUGGCGAAGAAUACACAACCAAACAAAAAUACAAAACAACUCUUAGCAACGGAUAUCUUGGUUCUC
rnacentral:misc_RNA from 1 species